GAUUGACCAGAUAAAUAUUUUAACUGAGGACGUGUCCAAUGAAUUUUGUUUUCGGAUAAUAAAAUGAAGCCUUUUUGCAAACGUGGUUUCUACAAUCAUCAAUGUUACCAGAAAAAAAACCAUUCCGGGCCUGCACAGAAAACAUCUAACUCCUCAUCAAUAUUCGUGAAUUCAAGAGCAUGCAACAUGGAAUUACUUAUUUGAAGAUUAAAUAUUGGUUCUCGAGUGACGUUUGAGGAUCAUUCUUCGGAAAUAAUCUUGACUCUCUGAAAUUUCAAUCACUGGAAGUUUAUCAUGCAAAAACCAACCUUGUUUGUUCAGAAGACGUCCGCUGAAAAACUCUAAAUGAUACAAUGAAAGUCUUGCACAACACACCCUAACACUUAUUGGUCUGCACAUACAUUUUACUACUGCGCUAGAAAAUUUGAUACUCUCAAGACCGCAAUGGGUGCAAACCCAGAAGAUUGAUGAUAAAGGCCCACAGUAUAUGAUUCAAAUGA